CCUACGGGGGGCUGCAGUGGGGAAUAUUGGACAAUGGGGGCAACCCUGAUCCAGCCAUGCCGCGUGUGUGAAGAAGGCCCUCGGGUUGUAAAGCACUUUCAGUGAGGAAGAACGCCUGGUGGUUAAUACCCAUCAGGAAAGACAUCACUCACAGAAGAAGCACCGGCUAACUCCGUGCCAGCAGCCGCGGUAAUACGGAGGGUGCGAGCGUUAAUCGGAAUUACUGGGCGUAAAGCGCGCGUAGGUGGCUUGAUAAGCCGGUUGUGAAAGCCCCGGGCUCAACCUGGGAACGGCAUCCGGAACUGUCAAGCUAGAGUGCAGGAGAGGAAGGUAGAAUUCCCGGUGUAGCGGUGAAAUGCGUAGAGAUCGGGAGGAAUAACAGUGGCGAAGGCGGCCUUCUGGACUGACACUGACACUGAGGUGCGAAAGCGUGGGUAGCAAACAGGAUUAGAUACCCCUGUAGUC
rnacentral:rRNA from 1 species